rnacentral:tRNA from 1 species
GGAUGUGGCUCAGUGGUAGAGUGCUUGCUGAGCAUGCAUGAGACCCCUGGGUUUGAUCCCCAGAACUGCA